UUUUUUCUUUAAAGCUCCCCAGGUAAUUCUCCCGUGGAGCCAAGCUUGAGAUCUCCUGGUGAGGCCAAGAGGAGGAACCUGAGAAUCAGGAGACCUGAAGCCAAAACCACCACUGAGUCAUCCUGUGAUCUUGGGCAAUACUGCCCACAUUCUGAGACAAGUUCCAAGGAUGUCUACAGGAAGCUGCUGGACCAGAAAAGCCAGGAUUCUGAUGAGUUCCAUGUUGGGCACUGGGAGCCUUACCUGGAAAAUGAUAUCCCCAGAUUGGUAUACUGUGAAGAGCCAAUCGAAGACUGAACAGCCAAAACUUCAGAAAAAUAGUUUUAGAAAGAUAUGUCAUAGGGGCACCUGGGUGGCUCAGUCGUUAAACGUCUGCCUUUGGCUCAGGUCAUGA